CCUACGGGGGGCAGCAGUGAGGAAUAUUGGUCAAUGGGCGCGAGCCUGAACCAGCCAAGUAGCGUGAAGGAUGACUGCCCUAUGGGUUGUAAACUUCUUUUUUAAAGGAAUAAAACGAGGCACGUGUGCCUUUUUGCAUGUACUUUAUGAAUAAGGAUCGGCUAACUCCGUGCCAGCAGCCGCGGUAAUACGGAGGAUCCGAGCGUUAUCCGGAUUUAUUGGGUUUAAGGGGAGCGUAGAUGGGUUGUUAAGUCAGUUGUGAAAGUUUGCGGCUCAACCGUAAAAUUGCAAUUGAUACUGGCAGUCUUGAGUACAGUUGAGGUAGGCGGAAUUCGUGGUGUAGCGGGGAAAUGCUUAGAUAUCACGAAGAACCCCGAUUGCGAAGGCAGCUUACUAAACUGUGACUGACAUUGAUGCUCGAAAGUGUGGGUAGCAAACAGGAUUAGAUACCCCUGUAGUC
rnacentral:rRNA from 1 species